GGAGACUGGUGCUGAUGCGCAUGCCCUGCUUACUCAGAGGAAAUGCGAGAACGCUGGAGUAGGAGGUGCACUUUCAUUUGAGAGGGCUCUGUUAAUGGUUGGUCAUCACUUGUGAACUCAGUGAAAGAAGGAUCAGAGAAUUGUUGGUUGUCCCUGUCACUGGUUUCUACAGAGGGACACGGAAGCUGUUUCCACAGUGCCAUCCGCAAAUAUUAAAAGGUGGAAAAGCCAAUGUCAUCUCAGAAUGAAGGAGAGUCGGUGCUAACAUACCUGUGAUGUUUGUCAAGGGGUCACCGGCUUUAUUCCAUACCCUGGCCUGCUCUGGGUAAGAAUGUUCCUGAUUUCAAAAGUGACCAUGCAGAUUAAUAAAUACACAGGAUUCCAGCACACCCUGAAGAAAGCUAUGAAAGAAACGGUGAAUGAAACCUUUUUAUAAAGACAUCUCUGGGCUCUCUGCGGAUCCACGCCUGGUCCAUCACAUCAUCUAUCAGAGUCUAAGUAAAUGUGUUAAUAGGAUAUGGGUUAAACUGGUAGUGUCACAGAUCAGAGAGGAAAUGUGAUAGUAUCAGUCUCAAAGUCAUUUUAAGGGUUUGUUACUAUGCUCUGAAUUCAACAAAAUGAAAUUUCAUAGUGAUAUGUAAAUGGAGCAUAAAUAACUACGAGAUGGUAGGAUACAGACUGGAGAAGAGAGUGGGUCUUCGUUGGAAGCAGAGACUGUGCUUUUGUUUUCUGGUCACCCAGAACCAAACAAUCACACAGAAACUAUAUUAAUUACAACGCUGGUCAACAGCUCAGGCAUAUUCC